rnacentral:rRNA from 1 species
CCUACGGGAGGCAGCAGUGGGGAAUAUUGCACAAUGGGCGCAAGCCUGAUGCAGCCAUGCCGCAUGUGUGAAGAAGGCCUUCGGGUUGUAAAGCACUUUCAGCGGGGAGGAAGGCGGUGAGGUUAAUAACCUCAUCGAUUGACGUUACCCGCAGAAGAAGCACCGGCUAACUCCGUGCCAGCAGCCGCGGUAAUACGGAGGGUGCAAGCGUUAAUCGGAAUUACUGGGCGUAAAGCGCACGCAGGCGGUCUGUCAAGUCGGAUGUGAAAUCCCCGGGCUCAACCUGGGAACUGCAUUCGAAACUGGCAGGCUAGAGUCUUGUAGAGGGGGGUAGAAUUCCAGGUGUAGCGGUGAAAUGCGUAGAGAUCUGGAGGAAUACCGGUGGCGAAGGCGGCCCCCUGGACAAAGACUGACGCUCAGGUGCGAAAGCGUGGGGAGCAAACAGGAUUAGAUACCCCAGUAGUC